rnacentral:pre_miRNA from 12 species
CCCGAAUCUAUCCAUGUAUUCUAUCCUUCAUUCCACCGGAGUCUGUCUUAAAGUGCCAAUCAGAUUUCAGUGGUUUGAAGAGUAAAACACAUGGGAUUUC